GCCGGCGUGGCUCAAUGGAAGAGCGGCGCACUCGUAAUGCGCAGGUUGUGGGUUCGAUUCCCACCGCCGGCUCCA
rnacentral:tRNA from 1 species